rnacentral:rRNA from 1 species
GGGGCAGCUUGGACGCGCUUCGGCGCACCCAGAGACCCUUUGUGAACUCAUACCUUACUGUUGCCUCGGCGCUGGCCGGCCUCCUCACCGAGGCCCCCUGGAAACAGGGAGCAGCCCGCCGGCGGCCAAACAAACUCUUGUUUCUUAGUGAAUCUCUGAGUAAAAAACAUAAUGAAUCAAAACUUUCAACAACGGAUCUCUUGGUUCUGGCAUCGAUGAAGAACGCAGCGAAAUGCGAUAAGUAAUGUGAAUUGCAGAAUUCAGUGAAUCAUCGAAUCUUUGAACGCACAUUGCGCCCUCUGGUAUUCCGGAGGGCAUGCCUGUUCGAGCGUCAUUUCAACCCUCAAGCCUAGCUUGGUGUUGGGGCACCGCCUUUGCAAAAGGGCGGGCCCUGAAAUCUAGUGGCGAGCUCGCCAGGACCCCGAGCGUAGUAGUUAUAUCUCGUUCUGGAAGGCCCUGGCGGUGCCCUGCCGUUAAACCCCCAACUUCUGAAAUUUUGACCUCGGAUCAGGUAGGAAUACCCGCUGAACUUAAGCAUAUCAAUAAGCGGAGGAA